rnacentral:rRNA from 1 species
GACGAACGCUGGCGGCGUGCUUAACACAUGCAAGUCGAACGGAAAGGCCCUGCUUGCAGGGUACUCGAGUGGCGAACGGGUGAGUAACACGUGGGUGAUCUGCCCUGCACUUCGGGAUAAGCCUGGGAAACUGGGUCUAAUACCGGAUAGGAGCCAUUUUUAGUGUGAUGGUUGGAAAGUUUUUUCGGUGUAGGAUGAGCUCGCGGCCUAUCAGCUUGUUGGUGGGGUAAUGGCCUACCAAGGCGGCGACGGGUAGCCGGCCUGAGAGGGUGGACGGCCACAUUGGGACUGAGAUACGGCCCAGACUCCUACGGGAGGCAGCAGUGGGGAAUAUUGCGCAAUGGGCGCAAGCCUGAUGCAGCGACGCCGCGUGGGGGAUGACGGCCUUCGGGUUGUAAACUCCUUUCGCUAGGGACGAAGCUUUUUGUGACGGUACCUAGAGAAGAAGCACCGGCUAACUACGUG